ensembl:lncRNA
CAGAAAUCUUGCAUGCAGGGCCAAAUAGUACUGCUGAUGUUUUAAGUUAAAAGGAUUAACUAAAGGAGAAGCUGCCAAAUUCAUCCUUGGAAUAAGGAAGAGCAAUUCCCAUUGAAAUGUCAAUGACAAACUGGGCACUGAUGUGAAACCUGAUACAAAAUGCACAGAGCUCCACAAGCACAGCGGAAUACAGUUUCUCAACACUACAUUUGUGCACUAGAGAGAGAAAAAGGUGGCACCGACUGUUAAGCAGUGCACCAAAUGCUUUCCUGAUCUGCCAUCGAGACAUCCACAAAGCUUUUGGGCAACAGAGCUCUAGCAAGCAGUCUUCAGAGCCCUCAACAUGCCCACAACAGAAUCUCAUUGCCUUCACUGUAACCGGUCACGUUUCCAAAGGGUAUAUUCCGUGCCUUUCAGUGAUGUUACUUCAGAAAACAUCCUUCAAAAGACAUUGUUCUGCAUCGUGGCUGUGGCCAAAAAAAAUAAGCUUUUGACCCAGUUGAUCCAUUUACAUGAAUUUAAUGGAAUCUAUAAUCCCCCAAAACUGGCUCCUUUCCCAGAUUAUGUAUAAUUUGGGCUAAUCAUAGAAGAAAGCGAUCAGAGGUUAGCAGAAACACCCCUCAGAGGUAAGAGCAUUACUCUGUGAAUCCCCAUAAACUAACAUUUAGUUAGUUUGUUGCAUUUAGCUAUUGCAAUCUUUUCUGCUGUUUGUUUGAUGUUUAAUUUUCUACUGAACCUUGAGAAACCUGGUAGGACAUACAACAACACCCAUAAGUAAUCAUUUGUAGUUAGUUACUAUUAACACUGUCAG